rnacentral:tRNA from 3 species
GCGCCUGUAGCUCAACGGAUAGAGCACUUGUCUUCGGAACAAGGGGUUGAGUGUUCAAUUCACUCCAGGCGCACUA